rnacentral:rRNA from 1 species
CAGCCGCGGUAAUACGGAGGGGGCUAGCGUUGUUCGGAAUUACUGGGCGUAAAGCGCACGUAGGCGGCUUGGUAAGUUAGAGGUGAAAGCCCGGAGCUCAACUCCGGAAUUGCCUUUAAGACUGCCGAGCUAGUAGGUGAGAGAGGUAAGUGGAAUUCCGAGUGUAGAGGUGAAAUUCGUAGAUAUUCGGAAGAACACCAGUGGCGAAGGCGGCUUACUGGCUCAUUCUAGACGCUGAGGUGCGAAAGCGUGGGGAGCAAACAGGAUUAGAUACCCCUGUAGUCCCUGUCUCUUAUACACA